UACGGGGGGGGGCAAGCGUUGUUCGGAAUUACUGGGCGUAAAGGGCUCGUAGGCGGCCAACUAAGUCGGACGUGAAAUCCCCAGCUCAACCUGGGAACUGCGUCCGAUACUGGAUGGCUUGAAUUCGGGAGAGGGAUGCAGAAUUCCAGGUGUAGCGGUGAAAUGCGUAGAUAUCGUAAGGAAGACCAGUGGCGAAGGCGGGUCUCUGGACAGUUCCUGACGCUGAGGCACGAAGGUCAGGGGAGCAAACGGG
rnacentral:rRNA from 1 species